GCGUGCUAUACAUGCAAGUCGAACGCACAGCGAAAGGUGCUUGCACCUUUCAAGUGAGUGGCGAACGGGUGAGUAACACGUGGACAACCUGCCUCAAGGCUGGGGAUAACAUUUGGAAACAGAUGCUAAUACCGAAUAAAACUUAGUGUCGCAUGACACAAAGUUAAAAGGCGCUUCGGCGUCACCUAGAGAUGGAUCCGCGGUGCAUUAGUUAGUUGGUGGGGUAAAGGCCUACCAAGACAAUGAUGCAUAGCCGAGUUGAGAGACUGAUCGGCCACAUUGGGACUGAGACACGGCCCAAACUCCUACGGGAGGCUGCAGUAGGGAAUCUUCCACAAUGGGCGAAAGCCUGAUGGAGCAACGCCGCGUGUGUGAUGAAGGCUUUCGGGUCGUAAAGCACUGUUGUAUGGGAAGAACAGCUAGAAUAGGAAAUGAUUUUAGUUUGACGGUACCAUACCAGAAAGGGACGGCUAAAUACGUGCCAGCAGCCGCGGUAAUACGUAUGUCCCGAGCGUUAUCCGGAUUUAUUGGGCGUAAAGCGAGCGCAGACGGUUUAUUAAGUCUGAUGUGAAAGCCCGGAGCUCAACUCCGGAAUGGCAUUGGAAACUGGUUAACUUGAGUGCAGUAGAGGUAAGUGGAACUCCAUGUGUAGCGGUGGAAUGCGUAGAUAUAUGGAAGAACACCAGUGGCGAAGGCGGCUUACUGGACUGCAACUGACGUUGAGGCUCGAAAGUGUGGGUAGCAAACAGGAUUAGAUACCCUGGUAGUCCACACCGUAAACGAUGAACACUAGGUGUUAGGAGGUUUCCGCCUCUUAGUGCCGAAGCUAACGCAUUAAGUGUUCCGCCUGGGGAGUACGACCGCAAGGUUGAAACUCAAAGGAAUUGACGGGGACCCGCACAAGCGGUGGAGCAUGUGGUUUAAUUCGAAGCAACGCGAAGAACCUUACCAGGUCUUGACAUCCUUUGAAGCUUUUAGAGAUAGAAGUGU
rnacentral:rRNA from 1 species